CUUCAGUCCAAAGAAGACAUUGGUCUCAGUCUACAAGCUGGACCCACCUGUAGGACCCUUUGGAUCAGAGGAUCGUGUCUGGCUUUCCUGUUGCAACAGCUAAAGAAUUAUCCCUGCAUGAAGCUCUAGGGGCCCUCUCUUCAUUCAUUCAAAUGUGCUGGAAGCGACACUCUGCCAGUUCCAUCCCUUUGUUUUAAGAAAGCCAGGAAGAUUGUUUUGUAUUCUUGGGAUCCCUGAGUUGCCAGGAGGUGGGUCAAAAGAUCAAUAAAACUAAAAGCUGGUUCUUUGAGAAGAUAAACAAAAUUUAUAAACCAUUAGCCAGACUCAUCAAGAAAAAAAGGGAGAAGACUCAAAUCAACAGAAUUAGAAAUGAAAAAGGAGAAGUAACAACUGACACUGCAGAAAUACAAAGGAUCAUGAGAGAUUACUACAAGCAACUAUAGGCCAAUAAAAUGGACAUUCUGGCAAAAAUGGACAAAUUCUUAGAAGAGCACAACCUUCUGAGACUGAACCAGGAAGAAAUAGAAAAUAUAAACAGACAAAUUACAAGCACUGAAAUUGAAACUGUGAUUAAAAAUCUUCCAACAAACAAAAGGCCGGGACCAGAUGGCUUCACAGGCAAAUUCUAUCAAACAUUUAGAGAAGAGCUAACACUUAUCCUUCUCAAACUCUUCUAAAAUAUAGCAGAGAGAGGAACACUCCCAAACUCAUUCUACAAGGCCACCAUCACUCUGAUACCAAAACCAGACAAAGAUGACAGA